AUGAACGCUGGCGGCGUGCCUAAUACAUGCAAGUCGAGCGAACGGACGAGAAGCUUGCUUCUCUGAUGUUGCGGCGGACGGGUGAGUAACACGUGGAUAACCUACCUAUAAGACUGGGAUAACUUCGGGAAACCGGGGUUAUAACCGGAUAUAAUUUUGAACCCCAUGUUUCAAAAGUGAAAAAGGGCUUUGUGGUCACUAUUAAAUGGUGCCGCGCUGCAUUAGCUAGUUGGUAAGGUAACGGCUUAUCAAGGCAACGAUGCAUAGCCGACCUGAGAGGGUGAUCGGCCACACUGGAACUGAGACACGGUCCAGACUCCUACGGGAGGCAGCAGUAGGGAAUCUUCCGGAAUGGGCGAAAGCCUGACGGAGCAACGCCGCGUGAGUGAUGAAGGUCUUCGGAUCGUAAAACUCUGUUAUUAGGGAAGAACAUAUGUGUAAGUAACUGUGCACAUCUUGACGGUACCUAAUCAGAAAGCCACGGCUAACUACGUG
rnacentral:rRNA from 1 species